UACCAGCACCCCGAGUGGUCGGGACGAUUAUUGGGCCUAAAGCAUCCGUAGCCGGUCAUGCAAGUCCUCCGUUAAAUCCACCUGCUUAACAGAUGGGCUGCGGAGGAUACUACAAGGCUAGGAGGCGGAAGAGGCAAGCGGUACUCAGUGGGGUAGGGGUAAAAUCCUCUGAUCCAUUGAAGACCACCAGUGGCGAAGGCGGCUUGCCAAUACGCGCUCGACGGUGAGGGAUGAAAGCUGGGGGGAGCAAAC
rnacentral:rRNA from 1 species